UUCUGGCAGGUAAAUCCACCGGAGCAAUCUCGAGACACGAAUAGGAGGGCCUAGCCCGUAAACUGACCAUAAUCCUGCUGCCAAGAAAAGCCUCUAUGUGAGAUUAUGAACUGACCGUACCCUAAACGGACACACGUGGACGAGGAGAGUAUCCUAAGGCGCUUGAGAGAAUCCAGGUUAAGGAACUCGGCAAAUUAACCCCGUAACUUCGGGAGAAGGGGUGCCUUGAUUAGGUGAACACCUUAGCGGUGGAAGCUGAAAGAGGCCGCAGUGACCAGGCCCAAACGACUGUUUACUAAAAACACAGGUCUCUGCUAAAUCGUAAGAUGAAAUAUAGGGACUGACACCUGCCCGGUGCCGGAAGGUUAAGUAGAGGGGUUAUCCCGACACUUGUGUCGGGAGAAGCUCUGAAACGAAGCCCCGGUGAACGGCGGCCGUAACUAUAACGGUCCUAAGGUAGCGAAAUUCCUUGUCGGGUAAGUUCCGACCCGCACGAAUGGUGUAACGACUUGAGUACUGUCUCUACCAGGAGCCCAGCGAAAUUGUAGCGUCGGUGAAGAUGCCGGCUAACCGCGGCAGGACGGAAAGACCCCGUGAACCUUUACUAUAACCUGACAUUGGGUUUUGGUUCUGUAUGUGUAGGAUAGGUGGGAGGCUAUGAAGCUUCGACGCUAGUCGGGGUGGAGCCAACCUUGAAAUACCACCCUUAUAUUGCUGAAAUUCUAAUUCCGACCCUUGAAUCAGGGCGGGAAACAGUGUCAGGCGGGUAGUUUGACUGGGGCGGUCUCCUCCUAAAAUGUAACGGAGGAGCCCAAAGGUUCCCUCAGCACGGACGGUAAUCGUGCAAAGAGUGCAAAGGCAUAAGGGAGCUUAACUGCAAGGCCGACAGGCCGAGCAGGUGCGAAAGCAGGGCUUAGUGAUCCGGUGGUCCCGAAUGGAAGGGCCAUCGCUCAUCGGAUAAAAGGUACUCCGGGGAUAACAGGCAGACAGUUCGGUCCCUAUCCGCCGUGGUCGCAGGAAACUUGAGGGAUGCUGUUCCUAGUACGAGAGGACCGGAACGGACGAACCUCUGGUGCACCAGUUGUCUCAUCAGAGGCACCGCUGGGUAGCUACGUUCGGAUGGGAUAAGCGCUGAAAGCAUAUAAGCGCGAAACCCUUCCCAAGAUUAGGUUUCCCUUCCCGAUUUCGAUCGGGAGUGAAGGUCCCCUGUAGACUACAGGGUUGAUAGGUCACAGGUGUAAGGUCAGUAAUGGCUUCAGCCGAGUGAUACUAAUUGAUCGUCAGGCUUUACCAA
rnacentral:rRNA from 1 species